rnacentral:misc_RNA from 1 species
AACUUUCGGCAAUGGAUCUCUUGGCUCUCGCAUCGAUGAAGAACGCAGCGAAAUGCGAUAAGUAAUGUGAAUUGCUGAAUUCAGUGAAUCAUCGAAUCUUUGAACGCACCUUGCACCCUUUGGCAUUCAGAAGGGUAUGCUCGUUUGAGUGUCAUUGUACUCUCACACUCCCGAUGCUUUUGGAUUGGGAGUGGUGGACUUGGGUGUUGCUGCUUUACUGUGGCUCACCUCAAAUGGAGUAGUGCAACUCUUGGUUGGACAUAGUACGGCGUGAUAAGUGUCUUCGCCGGCGCCUCAUUAGAGGGUGGCCGAUCGGGAGCUCUGUGCUUCAAACCGUCUUCGGACAACAUCUGACAACUUGACCUCAAAUCGAGUAGGACUACCCGCUGAACUUAAGCAUAUCAAUAAGCGGAGGCU